AAGAGGUGGAGCUGAGGCCGGUCGAAAGAAGCCUGGUUGAUGAAACCACCUAGCGGUAAGCCACCUGAUAGGGCACCCACCCAGCACCGGAGGUUUCCGCUUGUAUGAAACUGAAACUCCAAGCAAACAAAACAAGCUACUUUGGGCCUGAAACACCACAACCAGAAGUCACAGCUUGCUGUUGAACCUGUCAUAGCUUGGCACGCAGGAACUCCUCCCGAGGGUUUAUUGCUGAGAACACCAGGGAUCAUUUCUCCGCUUCAAUGAGCCGUCUUUUGCAGGAUAUCAUGAAUUACAAUGAAUGGUCUUCAGUCACAAAGUGCAGGUUAUGAUGACUCUUCUAAUCCUCCCACAUUGAAGUAGAUGGUGGUGAUAAAGCGAUAGCUUUGCCAUUCAGAAAGGAAGACUUCAGUUUUACCCCAGCCUUAACCCCCGGAGAUACCGACUCCAGUGGAGGUGCAGGACCUGGAGGACACUGAUAAGGCCUUUCUGUUAAACCUCAGCUCCACAGGCUGAGUGUGCAAAGAGAGGAAUGGAGCAGAGUACACUGGACCACCACAACCACAUGGUCACAUCAGAAAUCAUGAUGCCCAGCCAAGAAUUUGGCCUUUUGUCUUUUGUUAUAGUCAGAGGGGCAGCCUUGAGCACAGGGUAGACAAUAUAAAAUAACAGACUCAUGUAAAAUCAGUACGAUGGAGGGACAUGUUCACUGUGGUGUAACCUGGAGGAUUGGUUUAAUGUUUGGGAAAUGUUAGAUUGAACAUUAGAGACAAACAACCUCUUAUUAGGAGUAAAAUGAGAAACACAUUUAGUUAAAAACCUCUUAAUCUCUAUCAAUAUAGCCCAAACAAAAUCAGAUAACAGUUCUGUUAGUGAGGAAAAAAAUAACAUGAAAUGAGGCAGUGUUUUUAAGCCGUCAGCCAUCACACAGGUAAUUUAUUUUAUCAUGGCCAUCUCUUUGCAGGUACUUCUGUAAGCUAUAAGCCGUUCGCCACAACAGCUGUCAUGGCUGUAAUCUCCAUGGUUGGAGAUGGACAGAUAUCAUCUCCAAACUAGCUUUUCCUUCCACUCUGUGCCUCCCAGGCUGUCAGGAACAGCCUCUGUCUGUUUCCAGAGUAAAUGUGGGAAAUGAGUCACCCAGAAAUUAAUCGUGACGUUUUUUUUUUUUUAGGAUUGAAUGUAGUAUUUCAAAACCACAAUAAAAAUAUUCACACAAAAUGGAUUAAUAUUAAAGCCAAAACAUCCUCUUAAUCUAAUUUCCAGAAUUUAUGCAAUCUUACAGAAUAGAAGGAAUGACACUGCUCCCAUAUCACAGACUCUCACCAUCAACUCACACAGGCAAUGCCUUGCAAAUUCAGCAUCAUCACUGCUGUACAUUGCAGUAUCAACAACAACAGAAAAUUUGUGCUCGACUUUGCCUCCCAGUGGUAUAAUUAUUAUUAUUACCAAACUUCUGCAACAAAUUACUAUAAGAAUGCCGAGCUUUUAUUUGCCAUCUCUCCUUUAUAGCUGAGCUUAAUGAUAUUCUGUCAGAUAGAGUGAAAAAUUAACAGUUUAUUACACCAUCAAGCUUCAGUGCAGAGUGCAAACACCCCAUUAAUGCCUGCAGUAAUGGAUAUAAAAAACAUAAGAUCCAGCAGGGAGAGAAAACAUACAUUCGUGCAUAUCAUGACUAGCUGAGAGGCAUCUUGCUGCAAAAAAUAGGAAAAACAAUAUAAAUCUUUAAUGCUGUGGUGGGUUGAAUGACCCUUUUUUCUCACUUGGAAUGAAGAUGUGCACGUUUAAAGAUCCAGUGGCAGUCCCACGUGUCAGUCAAAGUUAACAUUCAUACUUCGUCCUUUUUAUGAAAUAACUCAAUUGAGAGAAAAUGUAUUUCCCGAUGCACUUAGAACUACUACAUUGUGCAAGAUUCUUCUUGCUUCUCUUAAUUUUGGAGACACCUUGAUGAGUAAUGGCCAUUGCCUUGGUGUUUCUUAAAGGACAACUGCUUUCAUAAAGUUGCCAUUUUUUAUAUGCAUGGACCAGAACUGAAAAUAUUUUGAAAUGAGUUCUUAACAUUCCUCUCUAACUCAUUCAGUCUUAAACAUGAUAACAAACCCUGAAACGUCUUGUUACAGAAGGCCAGAUAAGGAAUUAAGUAUUGAAGCUCACAAUUGCAUUUUACCAACGUGAUAAUUCAAUUAUGAGGUUAUAAAUAUACUAUAAAUUGAUUGGCCAUUUUAUUAGGUAUAGCUGUACAAUCAAAUGCAAUCCAAUAUAACAUUAACUCUACAAUCUACCAUGUACAAAGCUCACAAAUGUUCAAUUUUUGGUGAUUUGUGUUUAUUAAUAAGGUCACAGUGGGUGGUGGUGUUCUACUGGACUGCAUUAUAUUAAAGAACACCGUCUUAUAUUGAAAGAUGUUUCUAAUAUUUUGCCCCCCUCAUGUACAUAUAUAAAUGGGAUGGCCCUAAUAAAGUGGCCAGUGAGUGUAUAAACCUUUAGGCUUCCUUAGAUUUUCAAACAAGUUCUGUCACCAUUUCAUUUUCAUAUGUACAUUUGGAAACACUGAGAAUCCAAAUUGAAUAUUUGUAGCAAUUUCCAUUGUUGUUUGCAGUUGCAAACCAAAGCUAGCUAGUUAAUCUUUUUUUUUUUUGUUCUUUUUGCCUUUAUUUGAUAGGAACAUAGGAAAUGUGGGAGAGAGAGAGGAGGGGAUGACAUGCAGCAAACCCGAAUAUAAAAUAUAGCCCCUUUACCUUAAUUUUUUCAUCUUUUAUUUUAAUGGUUCCAACAGGCGAUUCUCAGCAGUUUUCCAACUUCCAUAACAGUAAAACAUAUCACUUUGUGUUCAGCAAUAGGUUGUAUGCAGUAAACUCAGAAAUAUAAAUUUUUCUUUUUUGAUUGAUCAAAUGAUUCAACACGUACUCAUGUAGAUAAAAGGCCUGCCACAUUCCUCUGAAGACUUUGAUUGGUUAAGUAUUUGAAAGCAUGUAAUCUUCACACAUCUAGUGGUCAAAGACCACUUUUUUACCACUUUUAGUGAUUCAUUCAAUUAAAAUGUCUAAUCAAACAUCUCAUACAGCUCUUCACAACAGAACCAACAAGAGCAACAUUUAAAAUCAGGCUGAACAAUUUCCUGCAGAGAUGAAUUGCAUAAAUAAAGGUCUAACCAGGUGGUAGGUGUUCAUCAGUAGGGGAUCCACUGAAUGUUAAUGUCAUUUACUUUUAUCAACAGAAUCAAGUAAAUCAAGCUAUUUAUGCUAAGUAGAGAUGAGUCUGAUGCCACCCAGUUCUAAUCAGUUUCUACAGACAUAUUUUAAUGUCAGCGGAAAUUUGCUUGUAUUUGUAGAUUUGCCCUGUUAAGUUUUUUUUGCAAGUUUAUAUUCCUCUUUUAUUGAAAAUUCAAUAUAAUAACAGCCAUGUCAUUCACUGCUUAUAUGAUGUUUCUUCCUGGCUGUAGCAAGUUAAUAUGCUGUAGCUUAAAGGGACAGUUCACCCCAAAAUCAAAAAUACAUAUUUUUCCUCUUACCUGUAGUGCUAUUUAUCCAUCUAGAUUGUUUUGGUGUGAUUUGCCGAGUUUUGGAGAUAUCGGCUGCAGAUAUGUCUGCAUUUUUUGAAUAUAAUGAGACUAUAUGGCACUCGGCUUGUGGUGCUCAACAGCACCGUCUCUUUCUAGAACUCAUGACCCGGUUACUCAAGAUAAUCCACAGACCUUGUUGUGAGCAGUUUCAUGUAGGAACUAUUGGUAGAAAGAAAAUAGUCCCUACAUGAAACUGCUCACAACAAGGUCCCUUUAAUGUUAUUAAGUGCUCAGGGAGGAGACUCAUGGUACGGGCUGGCACUGACCAUAAAAAAAGCACAACUAUUUGUUUAUGUCUCAUGCUGGUAUUGCCUUCCUUUUUGUUCUGUAGCUUGAAUAGCUCUGGUCAGGAACUUUAUGACUAUUAUGAAUCUUUUUGAGUAUAAAGAGUAAGCAUUGUGUGAUGGUUUGAAAACUGUUUCAGAGGCUUGUUUUUAAU